GAAAUGCGAAAAGUAAUGCGAAUUGCAGAAUUCAGCGAGUCAUCGAAUCUUUGAACGCACAUUGCGCUCACCGGCAUUCCGGUGAGCAUGCCUGUCCGAGCGUCUUUGCUGCCCUUCAAGCCCGGCUUGUGUGUUGGGUCGUCGUCCCCUCCGGGGGACGGGCCCGAAAGGCAGCGGCGGCACCGCGUCCGGUCCUCGAGCGUAUGGGGCUUUGUCACCCGCUCGAUAAGGACCGGCCGGGCGCCAGCCGGCGUCUCCAACCUUUUUUUCUCAGGUUGACCUCGGAUCAGGUAGGGAUACCCGCUGAACUUAAGC
rnacentral:misc_RNA from 1 species